ACGAACGCUGGCGGCGUGCUUAACACAUGCAAGUCGAACGGUGAAGCGCCUUCCUUUUUGGUGGGUGUGGAUGAGUGGCGAACGGGUGAGUAACACGUGAGUAACCUGCCUCCUUCUUCUGGAUAACCGCAUGAAAGUGUGGCUAAUACGGGAUAUUCUGGGUCUGUCGCAUGAUGGGUCUGGGAAAGAUAUUGUUUCGGUGGGGGAUGGGCUCGCGGCCUAUCAGCUUGUUGGUGGGGUGAUGGCCUACCAAGGCGGUGACGGGUAGCCGGCCUGAGAGGGUGGACGGUCACACUGGGACUGAGACACGGCCCAGACUCCUACGGGAGGCAGCAGUGGGGAAUAUUGCACAAUGGGCGCAAGCCUGAUGCAGCGACGCCGCGUGAGGGAUGGAGGCCUUCGGGUUGUGAACCUCUUUCGCCAGUGAAGCAGGCCUGCCUCGUUUGUGGGUGGGUUGACGGUAGCUGGAUAAGAAGCGCCGGCUAACUACGUG
rnacentral:rRNA from 1 species